rnacentral:tRNA from 1 species
GCCCCUGUAGCUCAGGUGGAUAGAGCAGCGGUUUCCUAAACCGCGUGUCGGGCGUUCGAGUCGCCCCAGGGGCACCA